rnacentral:rRNA from 1 species
AUUGAACGCUGGCGGCAGGCCUAACACAUGCAAGUCGAGCGAGCGGCGCACGGGUGCGUAUUGUAUGGGGACUGCCCGAUAGAGGGGGAUAACUACUGGAAACGGUGGCUAAUACCUCAUACUGUCGGCUUACCCAUUGGGGAUUAGCUAGUAGGUAAGGUAAGGGCGUACCUAGGCGACGAUGCCUAGCUGGUCUGAGAGGAUGAUCAGCCACACUGGGACUGAGACACGGCCCAGACUCCUACGGAGGCAGCAGUGGGGAAUAUUGCACAAUGGGCGCAAGCCUGAUGCAGCCAUGCCGCGUGUAUGAAGAAGGCCCUAGGGUUGUAAAGUACUUUCAGUCGGGAGGCGGUACCGAAAGAAGAAGCACCGGCUAACUCCGUGCCAGCAGCCGCGGUAAUAC